rnacentral:lncRNA from 1 species
CCCUUGGAUCCAUCCUUUUCUCCUACAGAUUUGGCUAGUGCUGGCGUCAGUGGUGCAGGAUAGAUGGACCAAUAUUUAUGAGGAAAUCUCCCACCUUGCUCCAUGGAACAAACAGGUCACUGAGCAGCAGCCAAAAUCUGCUGCUGCACAGAGCUUAAGGCCUGGGCCCAGUGAUCCUGUUGGCCUCUCCUUUCCUGGGUACUGUGAAUCAGGUGCACCAGCAGCAUUUCUUCAUGCCAGGGCUGAGACAUUAAAAUUAAGUAGUGCAACUAUGUCUGCUACAGAAAUCAAAGGGGAAGGGCAGUCUCAGACAGGAAGGACUCAGUAACAGCUUCAGCUGUCUCCAUCUGCCUCUCCUCCACCUCCACAGGCUUUCCCGAGAAUCCUGAGCUGAGAUGAAUGCUGCCACCCCGACACCUGGCCUCUGAGAAGCCACUAUUUCCCUAUCUAAGCUGGCCAGUCGUGGACAAAUCCCUCAGUUCCGCAGAGAUGAGGUUGGAAUUAGAAGUCAAAUGCAAAUGCAUAGAAAUGGAGGAGUUAACAGCACAGGCAUCUUCAAGCGAAUCCACAAAAAUUUGUUCAGAGCUUAUAGUCUACCCAGCCCCAGUUCCUUUUCCUCAGUAAAGCCUUACUUUGCACAGAAGGUGAAUGUUAGGUCAAGGCACUCAGACUUCCUGCCCAAAAGUCUUUUGAGUUUGUCAGCAGCAAUUGCAUGAGGAAAAGACGAUGCCUGCACAGAAAAGAGUAACUCUCACUUUGGAAAUCUCUGAAGAUUUUAAUUUCCCGAAGAGCCUG